rnacentral:rRNA from 1 species
CCUACGGGAGGCAGCAGUAAGGAAUAUUGGUCAAUGGACGAAAGUCUGAACCAGCCAUGCCGCGUGAAGGAUGACGGCCCUCUGGGUUGUAAACUUCUUUUAUAGGGGACGAAAAAAGGGUAUUCUUACUCACUUGACGGUACCCUAGGAAUAAGCACCGGCUAACUCCGUGCCAGCAGCCGCGGUAAUACGGAGGGUGCAAGCGUUAUCCGGAUUCACUGGGUUUAAAGGGUGCGUAGGUGGGUCUAUAAGUCAGUGGUGAAAUCUCCGAGCUUAACUCGGAAACUGCCAUUGAUACUAUAGGCCUUGAAUUAUCUGGAGGUAAGCGGAAUAUGUCAUGUAGCGGUGAAAUGCUUAGAUAUGACAUAGAACACCAAUUGCGAAGGCAGCUUACUACGGAUAUAUUGACACUGAGGCACGAAAGCGUGGGGAUCAAACAGGAUUAGAUACCCUGGUAGUCCACGACCUAACCUACUAGAUACUACGACACUACAGCGAUACACUGUUGGUUGUCUGAGCGAAGACGAUAAGUAUCCACCGUCGGAGGACGACCGCGAGUAGUUAACGUUACUAAUUAGAGUUAGACGGCGUUGAGACGUUGCCGACGGACGACGACGAGGGAGGAGGG